CAGAGUUUCACCCGGGGAGGCGAGCGGCAGCGGGACGGGGGAACGGCAGGGUAGCCAAGCAACGCCGGACGCGCUGACGUCGCCGGGGCGGCAAAACGUCCGCCCGGGCCCGAGGCGGGCGGAGGCAGCUGUGGUUACGUGCGGGGGGCCGGUGACGCAGUCGCGGGGCGCUGGGACGCGGCGUGCGGAGCCGGCCGGCGGGGGCAGGCCCCAGGGACCGGGCGCGGCAGCGGGACAGCACCUACCUUCCCGGCUUCAGGUCCGGGAGUGCGGGGCGCGGAGCCGCCGGAGCGCUGCCUCCCUCCUUCCUCCUCCCCCCGCCCCCGCCCCGCAGCGCGACACACAAUACUCGCCGGAAGCGGAAGCCGGGCCGGGAGGCUCGUGUCAGUGGAAGCCUUGGUGUCGGCUGGCGGCCCCUGGAAAGCCUAGCAGUGCCUGCGAGAGAAGUAGGAGGGGGGCCAGAGGGGAGAGGGAGUCCCAGGAGAGCUGCUACUACCAUUCUGCUGCACCUUGUCUCCUCAGCUCUUCCCUCGCCGCCGGACCGCAAGCAAGCGUGCGGUAAACACCUGUUAAGUGGGUGACCAGGGAUGUGGUUAGACUCAGGACAUUCCCAGGAGGAAGUGCAUUUAAAGGUC